rnacentral:lncRNA from 10 species
GGAACCUCACAAAGAAUGGUGCAGUAUCCUGAAGUUAGCAAGAACCAGGAAGAUAUUAUUGGUCUAGGCCUGAACUAAUUGACAGAGAAUAUGGUGUAGCUAAAUGGAGAAUGCUGCCUGGAGAGCCAGAAAGCCAAACCACAAUGACUCAGCUGGGAUGAAGCUGGGGAAUAAAACCAGCACUCUCACGCUCCCUUACCUCCUCCAUGGAACUUCUGUUGUCAUCCAGUGGCUGAAAUCAACUGGAAGCCUACAGGGAAAGACCUGCCUCCUGGGACACAGAGCAGGUCAGUAGGCAUUUGGUAGGAAUCUGCAUCAAACUGUUGGGCAAUGGUAGACAGCAACAUUGACGUCUGUAAAUUUACACUUGGAUUCUUAGUUUCUGGUUGGCUGCAUCCUUCUUCUGAAGGCCACUGCUCUUUUCAGAAGACCUCCCUAGAUGGCUAAGCUCUCUGGGUUGCAACAGUUGCUCUUUUUCCUUGAGCCUUAGGUUAGGGAGUUGGGAGGAAGUAAUGGCUUCCCCCACUGCUAGCUCCAGGGUGCUACACUUUCUCUUUUCUAGUUUCCCUAAUCUGGCUUACACCAUUAUAGAUAGACCCUUUAUUAAAAUAUCCUCAAUUUAUCCAUAU